rnacentral:lncRNA from 1 species
UUUUUUUAUUUAUGACUUUAUUUACAUUUUACUUAUUUUCUUCGUUUUCUUUCUAUUAUUUGUUAUGAAUUUGUUGUCACUAUUCAAACAUGAUGUAGUUAUUCUUGCAAGUUGUUAUUCUUGCAGGCCAUUGUUGUUUGCUGAGUUUAAUAUUGUUCACUCACACUAAUGUCGUUCUCUCAAAUCGUUAUUGUUUUCUUUGUCCUCGUUUAUGCACAUCUUAUGUCAGUGUUGUUCGCUCACCCUUCUUGUUUGCCCCUAGUCACUCCUCCCUCUCCAUUCGCCACAUUUUAGUUUCUCUUCAUUGCGAAUGCUUUGGGUGGUCAUUGUUAGUUUCUUUGUUUGCUUUUCUCUCCUCAAUAUCACUCUCCAUCCCAAGUAAGUUUUCC